rnacentral:rRNA from 1 species
AUACGUAGGUGGCGAGCGUUGUCCGGAUUUACUGGGUGUAAAGGGCGAGUAGGCGGGCUUGCAAGUCAGAUGUGAAAUACCGAGGCUCAACUUCGGGGCUGCAUUUGAAACUGCGAGUCUUGAGUGAUGGAGAGGCAGGCGGAAUUCCCAGUGUAGCGGUAAAAUGCAUAGAUAUUGGGAAGAACACCAGUGGCGAAGGCGGCCUGCUGGACAUUAACUGACGCUGAGGAGCGAAAGUGUGGGGAGCAAACAGGAUUAGAUACCCUGGUAGUCCACUCCGUAAACGAUGGAUACUAGGUGUGCGGGGACUGACCCCCUGCGUGCCGCAGGUAACACAAUAAGUAUCCCACCUGGGGAGUACGAUCGCAAGAUUGAAACUCAAAUGAAUUGACGGGG